UACGGAGGGUGCAAGCGUUAUCCGGAAUUACUGGGUUUAAAGGGUGCGUAGGCGGCUUGAUAAGUCAGGGGUGAAAGCCUAUCGCUUAACGAUAAUUGCCUUUGAUACUGUAAAGCUUGAAAGGGGUUGAGGUCAGCAGAAUGUGGCAUGUAGCGGUGAAAUGCAUAGAUAUGCCAUAGAACACCGAUUGCGAAGGCAGCUGGCUGGGCCUACUUUGACGCUGAGUCACGAAAGCGUGGGGAGCGAACAGG
rnacentral:rRNA from 1 species